GACAAAAAUCUGAUAAAUUUUACUGUGCUGCUUGAGAAAACUCCAGAGGUAGCACAGCUUGAUUUUGGAGUUAUUUACCAGAGGAGGAGGAUUCAAAUAUGUGCAAGGAAGAGUUACACCACAAAACUCUGCAACCCGAAGGAAGGAAAACAGGUAGAGCAGCACACACACACACACACACACACACACACACACACACACACUCAUUCCUUCAUACACAUCACUUCCCUUUCUGCCUGAAAGCAUUACGGUGAGAGUUCUUUUCAGAACCCUCUCCAUUUUAUCAACUUCCUUCUUGAAGUAAAGGCACACAGUAUUCCAACAGCAGUUCUAACAGUGGCAAAUACAGUGAAAUGUGAUGCAGUCUUCAUAAUUUUCUCCGUGUUCUUGAAUGACAACAGUUGCAGCAUGGAUCACAGCAUUCUGCAAGGUUUUUUCCACAUUCAGAAGCAACAGAACUGAAUAGAAAUACUUCCCCCCCCCGUAUCUGUACUUGUAACCUUUCUUAGAUAAACUUAUAUGUUCAACUGACCAUCUUGCAUUCAUAUCAAUAUUGUUUUUUAGUUCUUGUUUUAAUUCCCCCCCUCUCCUGCAGCUGCAACCUAUAGUUUAAAUCUGUAGGAAUACAUGGAGGGCAAAAUGCUUCUAUAAUUUUCUUUAAAUUGCUAAG